UACGGAGGGUGCAAGCGUUGUCCGGAAUCACUGGGCGUAAAGGGCGCGUAGGCGGCUCAUGAAGGCUGUGGUGAAAGUCCGGGGCUCAACCUCGGAUCGGCCGUGGCGACUCGUGGGCUGGAGCACUGUAGAGGCGGAUGGAAUUCCGGGUGUAGCGGUGGAAUGCGUAGAGAUCCGGAAGAACACCGGUGGCGAAGGCGGUCUGCUGGGGUAAUGCUGACACUGAUGCGCGACAGCGUGGGGAGCAAACAGG
rnacentral:rRNA from 1 species